rnacentral:rRNA from 1 species
UACAGAGGGGGCGAGCGUUAUUCGGAAUUAUUGGGCGUAAAGGGCGCGUAGGCGGCCUUUCAAGUGACGGGUGAAAUCCCUCGGCUUAACCGAGGAACUGCCUGUCAGACUGGAUGGCUUGAGACCGGGAGAGGUGAGUGGAAUUCCCAGUGUAGCGGUGAAAUGCGUAGAUAUCAGGAGGAACACCGGUGGCGAAGGCGGGUCUCUGGGCAGUAACUGACGCUGAGGAGCGAAAGCGUGGGGAGCGAACAGG